GUUAUUGUGUCUUGAACAAUAGCAUCAGCCAGGGAUUGGUCCAAACCAGGACUAAAAAUAUCCAGGGAUAAAGACUUCCAGAAGCUUCAAAAGAAGCAGCCACCAAAGCUUAUUUUGAAAGGAGAGAGUACUGACAGAGUACUAGGAGAACUUACCAAAGAAUCUGUGCCUUUUUCACUUAGUGGCUUCAGAGUCAAGGCUGUCUUGCGAGAAGAGAAAUCUACUGCCAGAUAAAGGAAUAGUGUUGCAGCAAAGAUGAAGAAGAGCUAAUGAUUUUCCGUUUUGUGGAUGUGCCUUUCUUCAACCCUUUUCCUCUCCCCGGCAGAAUCAUUGUUGUCACCUGUCAAAGCAGUUGUCAGAACAUGUUCUGAAGGGCAAUUGAGCCUGAAAGCCUCAUCACAACUUGCACAUUUCAAGGCCUUCCUGCUUGCAGUGCUGCCUCUUCUUUCUGAAGCCCCUCUGAAGAUUUUUUUGGUAGCUUAGCCAUAGUAAAUAGUUUGCAAAUUACUUUGUGAAGCUCACUGUCUAUAAAUUUAGCAAUAAAGAAACAGUAAGAGUGAUAUUCA
rnacentral:lncRNA from 1 species